rnacentral:tmRNA from 1 species
GGGGGCGUCCCGGCUUCGACUGGAUGCUGGAAUCGAUGGCUGCAUGUAGAGGUUGGUCGGUUGGCCUCUUAAAAAGCCGUCCAAAAACAUAAUUGCAGACUCUAACGAGCUCGCACUUGCUGCUUAAUUGACGGCAACGUCCCAAUCCUGAUGUCUGUUAGGGUGCGGGGCGACUACUUAGCAGACUGGCUGCAGCGCCGGGUAUCCGGGCAAAGCGGCGAGAACUAACAGGAUAAUCGGGAACCUAGAACGCGCCAGAUGAGGCUCGGGUUCCUUAAACUAGAAAACGUCUGGCUACACAUGUAGACGCUUUCAAGAAAGGCAUCUAGGACAGGGGUUCGACUCCCCUCGCCUCCACCA